UCACUCAGGAUGAUGCCCUCCAGGUCAAUUCA
rnacentral:piRNA from 1 species